UUAUCAAUGGCUUGCAAGACCACCGCUGUUGUGGCAUCCAUGUUGAUAUUGAUGCUCCUUGUGUCUUUCGUUUGACGAUAUAGAUGAAGACUCUCAUAAGUGUGCACCUUCCAAUAUAAAGACAUGCCAAGAUUAGGUCACACCCCAUCCAAGUGUUCUCAAUGGCUUGCAAGACCCCCAUCGUUGUGGCAUCCAUGUUGAUAUUGAUGCUCCUUGUGUCUUUUGACGAGGUUCAAGGGAAGUGUCGCGAGGAACGCAUCAAGCUCUCCUGUGAUAAUUGGGUCAAAUGUUUUGAGUGGUGUCGUCUCUUUGGUGGUACGAAAGGGUACUGUGAUAAAGGUUCAUGUGUGUGUGUGAAUUGCUUUGUGCAAUCAUCUGGCCACCAUUCUACAGAGGUUCCACCACCGAAUUCUGCCCAUCUUGAGUAGUUCAUUGUAAUUGUCGAAUUAUUGGUAAUUGGUUGUCCUAUAAAUAACUAAGUGCAUUGGUUAUGAUA